UACGUAGGGAGCAAGCGUUGUCCGGAAUCAUUGGGCGUAAAGCGCGCGUGGGUGGCCUCAUAAGUCCGCUGUGAAAGUCAAAGGCUCAACCUUUGAAAGCCGGUGGAUACUGUGAGGCUAGAGUACGGAAGAGGCGAGUGGAAUUCCUGGUGUAGCGGUGGAAUGCGCAGAUAUCAGGAGGAACACCAAUAGCGAAGGCAGCUCGCUGGGACGUUACUGACACUGAGGCGCGAAAGCGUGGGGAGCGAACAGG
rnacentral:rRNA from 1 species